rnacentral:rRNA from 1 species
ACUUAAAUUGAAGAGUUUGAUCAUGGCUCAGAUUGAACGCUGGCGGCAGGCCUAACACAUGCAAGUCGAGCGGUAGCACAGAGAGCUUGCUCUCGGGUGACGAGCGGCGGACGGGUGAGUAAUGUCUGGGAAACUGCCUGAUGGAGGGGGAUAACUACUGGAAACGGUAGCUAAUACCGCAUAACGUCGCAAGACCAAAGUGGGGGACCUUCGGGCCUCAUGCCAUCAGAUGUGCCCAGAUGGGAUUAGCUAGUAGGUGGGGUAACGGCUCACCUAGGCGACGAUCCCUAGCUGGUCUGAGAGGAUGACCAGCCACACUGGAACUGAGACACGGUCCAGACUCCUACGGGAGGCAGCAGUGGGGAAUAUUGCACAAUGGGCGCAAGCCUGAUGCAGCCAUGCCGCGUGUGUGAAGAAGGCCUUCGGGUUGUAAAGCACUUUCAGCGGGGAGGAAGGCGGU